rnacentral:RNase_P_RNA from 1 species
ACGUUUGGGUAAUUGCUGCAAUAUUUUAUAUUGUAGAGGAAAGUCCAUGCUCGCACUGGCUGAGAUGCCAGUAGUGUUCGUGCCUGGUGAAAAAAUAAGCUUGGGCAGCAGUUUAACUGCUGACGGCAGGGAAAACACCUAAGUCUUCGGAUAUGGUGUGAAUACCUAUAAAAGUGCCACAGUGACGUAGCCUUUUCAGAAAUGAAAAGGGUGGAACGAGGUAAACCCCACGAGCGAGAAACCCAAAUUAAGGUAGGGGCGCUUUCUUCCUUGGAAUUCAACGAGGAGAAGGACAGAGACUUAGCUCUCUGUAGAUAGAUGAUUACCACCGAAGUACGAGGUGAUUAUUCACCGUUCGCAGUACUGAGGAACAAAACAUGGCUUACAGAA